rnacentral:lncRNA from 1 species
GAACAUUUGGCCAUCAGAUUUGAGGGUGGGUACCCGACUGGCGUCGAGUACGUGAUCUCUACCCGAAGAGUUCCUCUCUUUACAGAUGGAUGAUGGGAGCUCUAUUUAGGAGAACGUGCUAUUAGGAGCACCACAUGAGAGAUUCGCAUGCCAAUCUUGCCUCCUGCCAGGCGUCAUUGGCUUGUAUCGCAAACACCCGUCACUGAUAUCCCAUUGUUGGGGGUUGACAACUUUGCAUUAUCAGAG